rnacentral:rRNA from 1 species
CACGGAGUUAGCCGGGGCUUCUUCUGUGGGUACAGUCAUUAUCUUCCCCACUGAAAGAGCUUUACAACCCUAAGGCCUUCAUCGCUCACGCGGCAUGGCUAGAUCAGGCUUGCGCCCAUUGUCUAAGAUUCCCCA